AGCGAACGCUGGCGGCAGGCCUAACACAUGCAAGUCGAACGAACCCUUCGGGGUUAGUGGCGGACGGGUGAGUAACACGUGGGAACGUGCCUUUAGGUUCGGAAUAACUCAGGGAAACUUGUGCUAAUACCGAAUGUGCCCUUCGGGGGAAAGAUUAAUCGCCUUUAGAGCGGCCCGCGUCUGAUUAGCUAGUUGGUUGAGGUAAUGGCUCACCAAGGCGACGAUCAGUAGCUGGUCUGAGAGGAUGAUCAGCCACAUUGGGACUGAGACACGGCCCAAACUCCUACGGGAGGCAGCAGUGGGGAAUCUUGCGCAAUGGGCGAAAGCCUGACGCAGCCAUGCCGCGUGAAUGAUGAAGGUCCUAGGAUUGUAAAAUUCUUUCACCGGGGACGAUAAUGACGGUACCCGGAGAAGAAGCCCCGGCUAACUUCGUG
rnacentral:rRNA from 1 species